GAUGAACGCUAGCGGGAGGCUUAACACAUGCAAGUCGAGGGGUAAAUGGUAGCAAUACUAUGAGACCGGCGGACGGGUGCGUAACGCGUAUGCAACAUACCUUGUGCAGGGGGAUAGCCCGUGGAAACGCGGAUUAAUAUUCCAUAGUCCAGCUAUAUCGCAUGGUAUAGUUGGUAAAGAUUUAUCGGCACAAGUUUGGCAUGCGUCUGAUUAGCUUGUUGGUAGGGUAACGGCCUACCAAGGCUACGAUCAGUAGGGGUUCUGAGAGGAUUAACCCCCACACUGGUACUGAGACACGGACCAGACUCCUACGGGAGGCAGCAGUGAGGAAUAUUGGUCAAUGGGCGGAAGCCUGAACCAGCCAUCCCGCGUGAAGGAAGAUAGCCUUACGGGUUGUAAACUUCUUUUCUGUCAGAAGAAUAAGCUUUGUCGAGACGAGUGAUGCCGGUAUGACAGGAAUAAGCAUCGGCUAACUCCGUGCCAGCAGCCG
rnacentral:rRNA from 1 species